UCCCUGGUGGUCCAGCGGCUAGGACCCUUCACUUGCAAUGCAAGGGGCCCAGGUUCAGUCCCUGGUCAGGGAG
rnacentral:tRNA from 1 species